AGUCAAAGAAGAGUUAGGAAAAAAAAAAAGUUAUUUAUAUCAUUUACUCAGUGCAAAUUUUAUUAGCCUCUGAUAUUAGUGGUUCCUGGUUCGGGACUGGCAUGAAUUUAAGGCCCCCGGAGAUGCUGACUUUUCCAGACCAGAAGGUGCGGAGUGGUUCCAGAUUAGGCACGGGAUCCAACACCAGUUCCCUAUUGGUGGAAAAGGGGUUUUGGCUGACACAAUCGGCGCAGGGAACAACCACACCAUGUCUGGACAAACCUAAGGACAGGAGACGCAGUGGCUGACCCCGCUGGACACAAGGUCUUAGUCACAUCAAAGACAGCGAUCCCCAGACUCUCCCACCACCCCUCGGACGAGAGCAUUGCGUCUCAUUCCUUCAGGAUCUGUUUCUUUCAGCAGCAUAAAUGAACCGAACAUCUCCUCGUCAACAAUCUCACAGAGAGACUCCAUCCAUUCAGCAGAGGUUUUGUCCAUCUGUACCCAGAAGGUUUGGUUUACAAAGACUCUGACCCAUCAUCAUCGUUCCUCCCGCUAAACCCUAAAUCCCUUUUUUGUUGUUUGUUGACUCAGUUUUUUCUAAGACAAUCCAUGAACCGAGCAAUACAUUCUCUGUCUUUCUGGUCGUUAGACGCAGGCGAGUUUAGGUUUUCAAUGUGAGGGAUGCCUAUUGGAAAAUAAUGUUCUGGGGGAGACUCCGGAAAUGUAUGAACAUCUUUAUUCGAUGUUUUCUUCAACUGCUGUAAUGUGUGCCAGUGUUUCACCUUACUGUUUGGACUGGAAUUAAUCUAAAAGCCAAUUUUCCCGCUAACUCAUUCUUUCACCAUUUGUUAAUUUGGAAAAGGUGGAAAAAUGUGAAGGAAAACUGGGCACACGUUCUCACCUGGCAGUGAGAGAGGG
rnacentral:lncRNA from 1 species